ACGCACACACACACACAGUAAAGCAAAAAGCUAGUUUCCUUGUCCUUGGCUUCUGCAUGGAAAACUGUGAUCCUCUUUGCUUCCCAGGCACCUCAGGAGAGAUGAAAAUUAAAACCCUUCCAAUGGAAAUACACUUUCACCUUGAGGCUCUCUUCCUUCUUCUCAAUUAAAGAGUAUUUUGGGAAACAACUGGUCAUUUAGGGCCUUAAACACUAAAGUGAGUGCUCACUCCUUACCCCUUCCCUUAAAGAAGGUGGAGAAAGAAUAGAAGCCUCUUGGAGAAGUUUGUAAUUCUCCCCGGCAGGACGUACCGUGGCAGCAGGAGUGCACUGCGCUGGAGGAGGCCCCAAGACGGUGUGUGCGGGAGGGCGCUGGGUGUGGGGCUGUUCGCAAGCGGUGGAGUGAAAAUCCUGCAUCACGGACUUCAGGAAGAGAUGUUGGGUCCCGGUGGCGAUGGCAGCGUGGAACAGCAGCAGCCCAUCCCCACACCUGAAGCACAAGUAUGUAGGUGAUUUCAAAAGGGAGGAAAGCUUCCGUCAAGGCAGCUUUCCUAGUAUCCCAAGCUGCUCUAGGCGAGCAGCUGAAUCUGCUCAGGCUUCACCUGAGAUCUUUCUCAAUUCACCUGAGAUCUUUCUCAAUUUUUCUCAAUUCCACCUUUGGCUCUCUAUGCCUCUGAUAGCGACAGGAGGCAGCCAAACGCCCAGGCAUUGGGUCCCAGUGAAACCCCACCUCCAAGCUGAAGACGAAGACAGUUUAAAGCCUGAAGGCCAAGCUACAGAGACGACCUGACUUUGGGGAAAAUGACCUGCCCUUUCUGUUCCCUCUCCAGCUCCCCUCUCCACUGAGAACCAUUUUCAUCACUCAAUAAAAUUCUCCACUUUCACCACCCUUCAACCUUCCAUGUGACCCCAUUCUUCAUGGACACUGGACAAGAGCUCGAGACCCACCCAGUGCAGUGGUGCUGGGCAGCUCCUCCCUCCCUGAGGGCUGUUCUGCCAACCUCACGACACCAUCAUAGAAGACUUCAGAGACUGACUGUUGCAGGUUGAACUGUGUCCUCCAAAAAGAUAUGUUGAGUCCCUAAUCUCCAGUACCUGUGUAUGUGACCCUAUCCGGAAAUAGAGUUUUUGUGGAUGUAAUCAUACUGGAUUUGGAUGAACCCUAAUCGAAGAUGACCAGGGUCCUUCUAAGAAGAGAAUAGAUGCAUGUGCGCGCAAGCGCGCGCGCGCACACACACACACACACACACACACACACACACACACAGAGGACCAUGUGACAGCUGAGAGAUUGGAGUGACGUGUCUGCAAGCAAAAAAUGCCAAGGAUUGCCAGCAACCACCUAUGGUCUCCUCCCCUAGAUCAUCUAGAGAGAACACAGCCAUGCUGACAUCAUCAUUUCAGGCCUCUAUCCUCUGGAACUGCAAUAUAAUAAACUUCUGUAGUUUUAAGCCACUCCAUUUGUGCUACUUUGUUAUAGAAGCACUAGGAACCUAUUACUCUCACCUUUGCUUUUCCCAUUCACUCUACGGACUUUCCUUUUUAAGCUUCCCUCCCCAAACAUUGUCUCUCAUAGGAUUCUCAUCCAUGUAUUUGUGCAUGAACUUCCCCGCAUCUUAUGAAAUAUCUGAGUAAAUGUUUA
rnacentral:lncRNA from 1 species